AGUGAACGCUGGCGGUAGGCCUAACACAUGCAAGUCGAACGGCAGCACAGGAGAGCUUGCUCUCUGGGUGGCGAGUGGCGGACGGGUGAGGAAUACAUCGGAAUCUACUCUGUCGUGGGGGAUAACGUAGGGAAACUUACGCUAAUACCGCAUACGACCUACGGGUGAAAGCAGGGGACCUUCGGGCCUUGCGCGAUUGAAUGAGCCGAUGUCGGAUUAGCUAGUUGGCGGGGUAAAGGCCCACCAAGGCGACGAUCCGUAGCUGGUCUGAGAGGAUGAUGAGCCACACUGGAACUGAGACACGGUCCAGACUCCUACGGGAGGCAGCAGUGGGGAAUAUUGGACAAUGGGCGCAAGCCUGAUCCAGCCAUACCGCGUGGGUGAAGAAGGCCUUCGGGUUGUAAAGCCCUUUUGUUGGGAAAGAAAUCCAGCUGGCUAAUACCCGGUUGGGAUGACGGUACCCGGAGAAGAAGCCCCGGCUAACUUCGUGCCAGCAGCCGCUGUAA
rnacentral:rRNA from 1 species